rnacentral:rRNA from 1 species
GACGUAGGGUCCGAGCGUUGUCCGGAGUUACUGGGCGUAAAGGGCGCGUAGGCGGUCUGGUACGUCCCCCGUGAAAGCCCCUGGCUCAACCGGGGAGGGUCGAGGGAAACGGCGAGACUGGAGGCAGCGAGAGGCUGGUGGAAUUCCCGGAGUAGUGGUGAAAUGCAUAGAUACCAUCCAGAACACCGAUUGCGUAGGCAGCUUACUAGGCUGUAACUGACGCUGAGGCACGAAAGCGUGGGGAGCGAACAGG